GAACCAGCAGGAGGCCAGAGCACCAGACUUGGGAAUGGAUUGAAAGGAACACAGGGGUUCCAAAGGCUGAGAAACAGGACACAACUCAACAAUCAUUUCAUGGCUGGACAGUCCUGGGCAGAACUAUAGUCCCAUUGCUGCAACAUCACUUGAAACCCCCUCUGACAUUCCCCUUUGUGUGUCCACGUGCUUAAGAUCAAGUCAAAUAGAUGUCUUUACCUCUGUGCCACAGGAAGAGGAAAAGAGAGCCAGGAAGAUCAGCUUAAACGGUAAGAGGGCAGAUGCUUCUACUACUAAGAGGGCUUUCUGGGCUUUGCCUCAAGUCACCAUAAGACAACCAUUCCAGUAGGACAAGGACAACUACAGAUGUUUGUAACCUGCCUCUUGGCAACUCCAGCCUCACAACUAUAGGAGACCUUCAGGAGAAGCUGGUCCCUGUUCCAAGAGCUGCCCUGCACUAACCCUAGGCCUCAGAGCACCAGCUGGGGGAGACCCAGCAGGACCAGCAGGCCACCCAGCCGUCCAGCAGUCCACCUUAAUUCUGGAAUCACCGUACAAAGUCGUCUGUGUGCAAUUAACAUACACAAUUUUGCAGUAGCUUCCUGACAAGCUGAGCAUGGGCUGAAGAGGCAGAAAUACCUGUGACGGCCUCCACGUAAGAGCUACCUCAUGAUCUCACCUGCAGUAAUAACAAGAUCCUGUUAGAGUGCAUGGUCCCGCAGCAGGCUUUCAAAGCAGCCCACAAUGUAUGUGUCAAGGUCCAUCAGAUUUAGAAGUAGAAGAAUCAGUGUCACCAUGGGGAUGGGGAACAAAGAACUCUCUGCCUUAAAAAGCGGUGCCCAUGCAGCAGAAGAGCUGCACAGAACACGGGAAUUAUGGAGAGCCAUUGGUGUGGGCUCCAUGAGAAUUCAUUAACCUUUUCGAACCAGACUCUUUUAUGCAAGCAUAUGUAUUCUUCAACGUUUGCAUCAUUUAAUUUUCAGAGGUUUAUACCCAGAAGACCCAAAGUCACAAUAUAACAAAGACAUCUGUACCAGAAUGUUUAUUGCAGUCAAAUUCAUAAUUGCUAAGUCGUGGAAGAAGCCCAAGUGCCCAUCGACUCACGAAUGGACUAGCAAAUUGUGGUACAUGUAUACCAUGGAAUAUUAUGCAGCCUUAAAGAAAGAUGGAGACUUUACCUCUUUCAUGUUUACAUGGAUGGAGCUGGAACAUAUUCUUCUUAGCAAAGUAUCUCAGGAAUGGAAGAAAAAGUAUCCAAUGUACUCAGCCCUACUAUGAAGCUAAAUUAUAGCUUUCACAUGAAGGCUAUAACCCAACUAUAGCACAAGACUAUGGGGAAAGGGCCAAGGAAGGGGAAGGGAGGGGGGAGGUUUUGGUGAAGGGAGGGUAAUGGGUGGGGCCACACUUACGGUGCAUCUUAGAAUGGGUAGAGGCUAAACUUACUAAAUGCAGAAUACAAAUGCCUACAUACAGUAACUAAGAAAAUGCCAUGAAGGCUAUGUUGAACAGUCUGAUGAGAAUAUUUCAGAUUGUAUAUGAAACCCUCACAUUGUACC